AUGGUCGUCGAUGACCUCAUGCAGUGUGUGCGCAAGAAGCAGAACCGCAUCACACAGAUGGAUGAGGCGGCCGCCGUCGGCCAGAGGCUUAACCAGGAGCGGAAGGAGGUGAUGCGCUCCAAGCCCAGGUUCACCGCCAUCAUCGCCGAGCUCAAGCGCCUCCACGAGCGCCGCUCGCCUGCUUCCGCAGUGAGUAUCUCCCACCACGACGCCCUCCAGGCCUGUGGCCAUCAUGCCUGCUUAUGGCUCGCCCGCGCCGAUGAGCCGAUCCACCCUGGCUCCUCUGUUACUUAUGGUGCGGUGAGGGCUAUGCUGGACAGGAUAAUGGCAUCAGACUACUACACAACAGCUACAGUUGGAGGGAGCUAUGGAGCUGAAGGUGUGCAGGCAUAG
rnacentral:rRNA from 1 species